rnacentral:rRNA from 1 species
AGAGUUUGAUCCUGGCUCAGAGCGAACGCUGGCGGCAUGCUUAACACGUGCAAGUCGCACGGGCAGGGGUAACUCUGUCAGUGGCGGACGGGUGAGUAACGCGUAGGUAUCUAUCCUCGGGUGGGGGACAACCACGGGAAACUGUGGCUAAUACCGCAUGAUGACUGAGGUCCAAAGGCGCAAGUCGCCUGGGGAGGAGCCUGCGUCCGAUUAGCUUGUUGGUGGGGUAAAGGCCUACCAAGGCUCCGAUCGGUAGCUGGUCUGAGAGGAUGAUCAGCCACACUGGGACUGAGACACGGCCCAGACUCCUACGGGAGGCAGCAGUGGGGAAUAUUGGACAAUGGGCGAAAGCCUGAUCCAGCAAUGCCGCGUGUGUGAAGAAGGUCUUCGGAUUGUAAAGCACUUUCGACGGGGACGAUGAUGACGGUACCCGUAGAAGAAGCCCCGGCUAACUUCGUGCCAGCAGCCGCGGUAAUACGAAGGGGGCUAGCGUUGCUCGGAUUGACUGGGCGUAAAGGGCGCGUAGGCGGUUUGUACAGUCAGACGUGAAAUUCCUGGGCUCAACCUGGGGGCUGCGUUUGAUACGUGCGAGCUUGAGUUCGGAAGAGGGUCGUGGAAUUCCCAGUGUAGAGGUGAAAUUCGUAGAUAUUGGGAAGAACACCGGUGGCGAAGGCGGCGACCUGGUCCGAUACUGACGCUGAGGCGCGAAAGCGUGGGGAGCAAACAGGAUUAGAUACCCCUGUAGUCC